rnacentral:rRNA from 1 species
GAAACGACUGCUAAGACUGGAUAGGAGAUAAGAAGGCAUCUUCUUAUUUUUAAAAGACCUAGCAAUAGGUAUGCUUAGGGAAGAGCUUGCGUCACAUUAGUUAGUGGGUGGGGUAAUGGCCUACCAAGACGAUGAUGUGUAGCCGGGCUGAGAGGUCGAACGGCCACAUUGGGACUGAGACACGGCCCAAACUCCUACGGGAGGCAGCAGUAAGGAAUUUUCGGCAAUGGAGGAAACUCUGACCGAGCAAUGCCGCGUGAACGAUGAAGUAUUUCGGUACGUAAAGUUCUUUUAUUAGGGAAGAAAAGACGGUGGAAAAACCAUUAUGACGGUACCUAAUGAAUAAGCCCCGGCUAACUAUGUGCCAGCAGCCGCGGUAAUACAUAGGGGGCAAGCGUUAUCCGGAAAUAUUGGGCGUAAAGGGUGCGUAGGCGGUUAAAUAAGUUUAUGGUCUAAGUGCAACGCUCAACGUUGUGAUGCUAUAAAAACUGUUUAGCUAGAGUUGGAUAGAGGCAAGUGGAAUUCCGUGUGUAGUGGUAAAAUGCGUAAAUAUACGGAGGAACACCAGAAGCGAAGGCGGCUUGCUGGGUCUUAACUGACGCUGAGGCACGAAAGCGUGGGGAGCAAACAGGAUUAGAUACCCUGGUAGUCCACGCCCUAAACGAUGAGUACUAAACGUUGGAUAAAACCAGUGUUGAAGUUAACACAUUAAGUACUCCGCCUGAGUAGUACGUACGCAAGUAUGAAACUUAAGGAAUUGACGGGACUCCGCACAAGCGGUGGAUCAUGUUGUUUAAUUCGAAGGUACCCGAAAAACCUCACCAGGUCUUGACAUGCUUUUGCAAAGCUAUAGAAAUACAGUGGAGGUUAUCAGAAGCACAGGUGGUGCAUGGUUGUCGUCAGCUCGUGUCGUGAGAUGUUGGGUUAAGUCCCGCAACGAGCGCAACCCUUGUUGUUAAUUGCCAUCAUUAAGUUGGGGACUUUAGCAAGACUGCCAAUGAUAAAUUGGAGGAAGGUGGGGACGACGUCAAAUCAUCAUGCCCCUUAUGACCUGGGCUACAAGCGUGAUACAAUGGCUGUUACAAAGGGUAGCUAAAGCGUAAGCUUCUGGCGAAUCUCAAAAAAGCAGUCUCAGUUCGGAUUGAAGUCUGCAACUCGACUUCAUGAAGUUGGAAUCGCUAGUAAUCGCGAAUCAGCAUGUCGCGGUGAAUACGUUCACGGGGUUUGUACACACCGCCCGUCA